rnacentral:rRNA from 1 species
GUGGCGAUGCUACAAUGCAGUCGAACGGCAGCACGGGCUUCGGCCUGGUGGCGAGUGGCGGACGGGUGAGUAACACGUAGGAAUCUGCCUGGUAAUGGGGGAUAACCCGGGGAAACUCGGGCUAAUACCGCAUACGCUCUACGGAGGAAAGCGGGGGCUCUUCGGACCUCGCGUUAUCAGAUGAGCCUGCGUCCGAUUAGCUAGUUGGCGGGGUAAAGGCCCACCAAGGCGACGAUCGGUAGCUGGUCUGAGAGGACGAUCAGCCACACUGGAACUGAGACACGGUCCAGACUCCUACGGGAGGCAGCAGUGGGGAAUAUUGGACAAUGGGCGCAAGCCUGAUCCAGCAAUGCCGCGUGUGUGAAGAAGGCCUGCGGGUUGUAAAGCACUUUAAGCCGGAAAGAAGGCCGCAAGGAUAAUACCCUUGUGGAUUGACGUUACCGGCAGAAUAAGCACCGGCUAACUCCGUGCCAGCAGCCGCGGUAAUACGGAGGGUGCGAGCGUUAAUCGGAAUUACUGGGCGUAAAGCGCGCGUAGGCGGUUCGUUAAGUCCGCUGUGAAAGCCCUGGGCUUAACCUGGGAACUGCAGUGGAAACUGGCGGGCUAGAGUAUGGUAGAGGAGAGUGGAAUUUUCUGGUGUAGCAGUGAAAUGCGUAGAGAUCGGAAGGAACACCAGUGGCGAAGGCGGCUCUCUGGACCAAUACUGACGCUGAGUGCGAAAGCGUGGGGAGCAAACAGAAUAGAUACACUGCUAGGUCCACGCCGUAACGAUGAGACCUAGCGUCGACUUCUUCGGAGUGAGUGCGAGCUUACGCGAUAG